rnacentral:rRNA from 1 species
AGAGUUUGAUCCUGGCUCAGGAUGAACGCUAGCUACAGGCUUAACACAUGCAAGUCGAGGGGCAGCAUGAACUUAGCUUGCUAAGUUUGAUGGCGACCGGCGCACGGGUGAGUAACACGUAUCCAACCUGCCGAUGACUCGGGGAUAGCCUUUCGAAAGAAAGAUUAAUACCCGAUGGCAUAGUUCUUCCGCAUGGUAGAACUAUUAAAGAAUUUCGGUCAUCGAUGGGGAUGCGUUCCAUUAGGUUGUUGGCGGGGUAACGGCCCACCAAGCCUUCGAUGGAUAGGGGUUCUGAGAGGAAGGUCCCCCACAUUGGAACUGAGACACGGUCCAAACUCCUACGGGAGGCAGCAGUGAGGAAUAUUGGUCAAUGGGCGAGAGCCUGAACCAGCCAAGUAGCGUGAAGGAUGACUGCCCUAUGGGUUGUAAACUUCUUUUAUAAAGGAAUAAAGUCGGGUAUGGAUACCCGUUUGCAUGUACUUUAUGAAUAAGGAUCGGCUAACUCCGUGCCAGCAGCCGCGGUAAUACGGAGGAUCCGAGCGUUAUCCGGAUUUAUUGGGUUUAAAGGGAGCGUAGGUGGACUGGUAAGUCAGUUGUGAAAGUUUGCGGCUCAACCGUAAAAUUGCAGUUGAUACUGUCAGUCUUGAGUACAGUAGAGGUGGGCGGAAUUCGUGGUGUAGCGGUGAAAUGCUUAGAUAUCACGAAGAACUCCGAUUGCGAAGGCAGCUCACUGGACUGCAACUGACACUGAUGCUCGAAAGUGUGGGUAUCAAACAGGAUUAGAUACCCUGGUAGUCCACACAGUAAACGAUGAAUACUCGCUGUUUGCGAUAUACAGUAAGCGGCCAAGCGAAAGCGUUAAGUAUUCCACCUGGGGAGUACGCCGGCAACGGUGAAACUCAAAGGAAUUGACGGGGGCCCGCACAAGCGGAGGAACAUGUGGUUUAAUUCGAUGAUACGCGAGGAACCUUACCCGGGCUUAAAUUGCAGAUGAAUUACGGUGAAAGCCGUAAGCCGCAAGGCAUCUGUGAAGGUGCUGCAUGGUUGUCGUCAGCUCGUGCCGUGAGGUGUCGGCUUAAGUGCCAUAACGAGCGCAACCCUUAUCUUUAGUUACUAACAGGUUAUGCUGAGGACUCUGGAGAGACUGCCGUCGUAAGAUGUGAGGAAGGUGGGGAUGACGUCAAAUCAGCACGGCCCUUACGUCC